rnacentral:lncRNA from 1 species
GCAGAGGAGGCCUCAUGUCAGAAGAAGUUCUCAACCACGUUAGGAUCAACAUCAAGUUUCUUCAGUGAUUCCUGUAUUUUCCAACAAUUCCAAUAAUCAAUUUGUUCCGAUUCAACAACAACAGCGUCCACAACAACCGCAACAAAGAACCAACAACAACAACAACAAUAAUCAACAACAAAAUUUUGAGAGGAAGAAGGUCUCUUUUGACCCUAUUCCUAUGUCUUACACCGAAUUAUAUCCAUCUUUGGUUCUCAAGAACCUACUUCAACCCA